CCUCUAUCACUUUCUUUAAUCCAAGGGGAGAAGAACAGCACAAGUGAAAUAAAAUCAGGGAUCCUCUGUUCAGGCAAAUUGGGUCCAUGGAACCUAUGGAGAGAGAGUGGCUAUCAUCCCAACACAGACCUGGGCCAGCACUUCUGCUCCAGAACUUUCCAUCCUGAGACCAACACAAAGAGGAG